UACGUAGGGUGCGAGCGUUAAUCGGAAUUACUGGGCGUAAAGCGUGCGCAGGCGGUUUUGUAAGACAGGCGUGAAAUCCCCCGGCUCAACCUGGGAAUGGCGCUUGGGACUGCAAGGCUGGAGUGCGGCAGAGGGGGAUGGAAUUCCGCGUGUAGCAGUGAAAUGCGUAGAUAUGCGGUGGAACACCGAUGGCGAAGGCAAUCCCCUGGGCCUGCACUGACGCGCAUGCACGAAAGCGUGGGGAGCAAACAGG
rnacentral:rRNA from 1 species